GAAAACAAAUGAGCAGUUUUUUUGCAACUGGUAAUUUUGCAACAUACUUGUUCAGGUGGAAUUUCAUGUGUCCCCAGGUCUCAAUUUUCAAACUAUUGAUGAUGGUGAACUCACUAACUUGCCAUUAUUUAAGCACUUUUCUGGAUCAAAAGGCAAAACAAUAUAAUGAGACUAAACCAACUUUAAUUUUUUAUGGUUGUGGGGAGCAAAAUCAAUUCCCAAACAGGUGAACAAUCAUGAAGUUUCACUGAUAGAGAUGGGACACCAGAAACACAAAAGCUAGCAACACAUGUAUUUUACAAAAUUAAUUUAAAAAAAAAAAGGUAAUUCCAUUCCAUUAAUGCUAAUCUUGCCUUGUAAUUUUGUUUAUCCAAAUAAGGUUAAAACAGUGUACUUAACCACGUGAAAUAAAAGUCCUUGCACAUCCCAAAAAACUAAGGAAAAAGAAAACCAGGGUUGAAAUUCUGGAUGAAACUGACAUGAAAAAGAUUGGAUAAAGAAUAUUCCUCCUCUUCAUAUCGCUCUCAACUAGCUAGUAGCUAGCUAGACAACAAUCUACAAAAGGAAAUUUGAAAUAAACUGCAGCAACGAAUCUAAAGAUAGAUAUAGCAAAGAAAAAUCAAACGUUACUGCACUCUAAUUACUUUGGUCUCAUAAUCAGAACAUCAUGGUAAAACAUCACAUUAAGCGUGAUAGCAACUGUUUUAAUGGUUUUAAUAAUCUGAUUAGUAAUGUCAGGCAUUUUUUAUAUAUCUCACACGCCCAAUAAAGAGCUAUAUGCGAUCAGAGAUGCGGCUUGCAUAG
rnacentral:lncRNA from 1 species